rnacentral:lncRNA from 1 species
AAAUAUAUACAUAUUUAACUAAGUAAUGAAGGUGAUUUACCCUGGCUGUCCAUUCUGAGAUAUUGCUAAUAAUAUUUUAUCUUCUUUGUAACAGGUAAAUAUUCCAUUUUGAUAGACUGCCAGAAAGAACUGCAAAGCAUUUCAAAGGGCAAGAUUGACAGAACUAUUGUAUGGAUUUGCCAGCUUUCAUCUUUGAUACCUUCUACUGAUUGAUAUCCUGCUUGCAUUAAGAUAACUCCAUCCAGAGUGAGGUAAUUCCACUCUUCAGUGAAUACUUUGUCACUUCUGCUUUUAUUAAGACAAAUAAUAAUAAUAAUAAUAAUAAAAUAAUAAAAAAAAUUUUUUUUAA